CAUAGAUCGAUAGCGAAGAGGUCACACCCGUUCCCAUGCCGAACACGGAAGUUAAGCUCUUCAGCGCCGAUGGUAGUCGGGGGUUUCCCCCUGUGAGAGUAGGACGCCGCCAAGC
rnacentral:rRNA from 1 species